GGGAAGAGAGUUAGAGUCUGCCAUAGAAGUACAGGAUUAAUGCUUCAUUUUCCUGAAGGGAUUUUUCAGAUGAAGGGAGUCAGAGUCGUCACUGUGCAAAAACAGAAGCUGAGAUUUUCAGUUCCAGGAUUUUCUGACAGCUUCUAUUGCCAUACGGCCCUGCGUGGGACAGGACAGUGUCGCAUGUGAGGAAAGGCAGACAGACAACAGAGGGAACCAGGCAGCUGAGCGAUAUACGUGUUUUAAAUGGACAAGAGAUUCGUGAUGUUCAGACACUGCCUCCUCUGUCACAUGGAUUACAGUCUGGCAUCCACAAAGUUAGCACGGACUCUGUUUUUGUUAGGCUCUGCAGUAUCACUGCACUUUAGAAAUU
rnacentral:lncRNA from 7 species